GAUGAACGCUGGCGGCGUGCCUAAUACAUGCAAGUCGAGCGAACAGACGAGGAGCUUGCUCCUCUGACGUUAGCGGCGGACGGGUGAGUAACACGUGGAUAACCUACCUAUAAGACUGGGAUAACUUCGGGAAACCGGAGCUAAUACCGGAUAAUAUAUUGAACCGCAUGGUUCAAUAGUGAAAGACGGUUUUGCUGUCACUUAUAGAUGGAUCCGCGCCGCAUUAGCUAGUUGGUAAGGUAACGGCUUACCAAGGCGACGAUGCGUAGCCGACCUGAGAGGGUGAUCGGCCACACUGGAACUGAGACACGGUCCAGACUCCUACGGGAGGCAGCAGUAGGCAAUCUUCCGCAAUGGGCGAAAGCCUGACGGAGCAACGCCGCGUGAGUGAUGAAGGUCUUCGGAUCGUAAAACUCUGUUAUUAGGGAAGAACAAAUGUGUAAGUAACUAUGCACGUCUUGACGGUACCUAAUCAGAAAGCCACGGCUAACUACGU
rnacentral:rRNA from 1 species